GAUGAACGCUGGCGGCGUGCCUAAUACAUGCAAGUCGAGCGAACGGACGAGAAGCUUGCUUUUCUGAUGUUAGCGGCGGACGGGUGAGUAACACGUGGAUAACCUACCUAUAAGACUGGGAUAACUUCGGGAAACCGGAGCUAAUACCGGAUAAUAUUUUGAACCGCAUGGUUCAAAAGUGAAAGACGGUCUUGCUGUCACUUAUAGAUGGAUCCGCGCUGCAUUGGCUAGUUGGUAAGGUAACGGCUUACCAAGGCAACGAUGCAUAGCCGACCUGAGGGGGUGAUCGGCCACACUGGAACUGAGACACGGUCCAGACUCCUACGGGAGGCAGCAGUAGGGAAUCUUCCGCAAUGGGCGAAAGCCUGACGGAGCAACGCCGCGUGAGUGAUGAAGGUCUUCGGAUCGUAAAACUCUGUUAUUAGGGAAGAACAUAUGUGUAAGUAACUGUGCACAUCUUGACGGUACCUAAUCAGAAAGCCACGGCUAACUACGUG
rnacentral:rRNA from 1 species